rnacentral:tRNA from 1 species
GUGUCUGUAGCUCAGUGGAUGAGAGCACCAGGCCGCGGACCUGGAGGUCGUUCGUUCGAUUCGGACCAGACACA